UGUGUCUACAUAAAAGGACGCUGUGUGUUGACAGCAGGUCACCAGUCUCAAACAGCGGCGAACUCCACUAUGAAGAACUUUGCUCUCGUGAUGACGGUGCUUCUGAUUGCUGCUGUGGCAUUCGUGAAUGGACAAAGGUUACCAGGAAGCGGGAUCCUUCGCCGAGUUCGAGAUCGCAUUUGUAACGGUCGAUUCUGCCGAUAUGAUGAACGUUGCGUCGAGUCACCACUUCCGUGUAGAAGGCCUCCCUGCCUGCGGAGGUCUCGAUGUAUAUGAAAUGAAAGUCCGGACACUCUCCUGGCAGUGAAUUUUGUCAUAUUCGGCAGCCGUCUAUAAAAAAAUUCCGAAGAAUAAAAUUUGUGUAACAGCA
rnacentral:lncRNA from 1 species